rnacentral:lncRNA from 1 species
GAAGGUCGAGAAAAGUCUCUAUGACGACGAUUUUUCAAAAAUUGGUUCAUGGUGUCUAAUAAAUAGAAAAGAAGAUGGUACAAAUGUGUUUGUAGCACAACAUGAUGAUGUUGGAGGUAUGUUUCCGGUUCCAAUUGAGCAGCUAGGGUUUGUUUGUGAGAGAGAGAGCUUCUUUGGUGUGAGAGAGAUUAUGUUGAACAAAUGAGGUGUUAGAGAAUAGAGAGAU